rnacentral:rRNA from 1 species
CACUAUCGUUAACUGAAUACAUAGGUUAACGAGGCGAACCGGGGGAACUGAAACAUCUAAGUACCCCGAGGAAAAGAAAUCAACCGAGAUUCCCCCAGUAGCGGCGAGCGAACGGGGAGCAGCCCAGAGUCUGAAUCAGCUUGUGUGUUAGUGGAACGGUCUGGAAAGUCCGACGGUACAGGGUGAUAGUCCCGUACACCAAAAUGCACAGGCUGUGAACUCGAAGAGUAGGGCGGGACACGUGGUAUCCUGUCUGAAUAUGGGGGGACCAUCCUCCAAGGCUAAAUACUCCUGACUGACCGAUAGUGAACCAGUACCGUGAGGGAAAGGCGAAAAGAACCCCGGCGAGGGGAGUGAAAAAGAACCUGAAACCGUGUACGUACAAGCAGUGGGAGCACCUUCGGGUGUGACUGCGUACCUUUUGUAUAAUGGGUCAGCGACUUAUAUUCUGUAGCAAGGUUAACCGUAUAGGGGAGCCGCAGGGAAACCGAGUCUUAACUGGGCGUUAAGUUGCAGGGUAUAGACCCGAAACCCGGUGAUCUAGCCAUGGGCAGGUUGAAGGUUGGGUAACACUAACUGGAGGAC